rnacentral:lncRNA from 1 species
AGCUACUUUACGCUCAAUUUAUCAGUCAAAAUAAUCUCCCAGAAGGAUAAAUUAAGUCUUCAUAGACCAGGGAGAACAAAAUAUCCACAUCCAAAUAUUGUUAUCCAGUGCAAGUAAGAAAAUAAAAAUAUAAGGCAGGUGGGAAAGGGGUAAGAGUAAUGCUUAAAAUACAAGGGGAAUAAGGAAAACUUACAGGGACACUAUGAAGUGGUUUCGGUGCAGUGCCUCUGUCACCACAGCCCUGCAGUCUAAAACAUUUCCAUUUAGUAGACACAGAAAUGUUUUAAUUGCAGGCUUAAAUGCACGCCUAGUGCCUGUCUUCCUGACAGCUUGUCGAGGUGCAUCCACACUCAUAAUAGAGUUUGACUCUAUUUAUGUGACGUUCAACUUCGAAUGUCAUCACAUGGUGAUCAUAGAGAAUCAUUUAACUGGACAAGCAUUGUGCAUGUAUUUCUCAUUUCUAAUACUUCUCUGUAAGAAGUACUGGAUUGGACGAGAAGCCAAGAAAGCAACACCUGCUGCAUGAUAUAGUGGCAGGAGGAGUGGGCGGCAGCACCAACGUGAAGUCUUUGAGCGGUAACUAACUUUUUUUCUUUUAAUUUUGGGCGUGGGUCCUACUAGUGAGAACACGACGGUGUUGGUAAUACAUGUAUUAAUACGUGUUUAUAUUCCUAACUUUUAAAGAACAAAAAAAAUCUAAAUCGAUGCUGCAAACAUACUGCUUCAAAAGGAAAGUUUUGAUGUAUAUCUUGACAUAAAUGCCCCAUGCUUGUUUUAAGCACCAAUGAUGGUCUCUCAUAAAAAAUCUGGUCUCAAGAAACCUCACUUUGUCAAGAAAUGUCCUAGAGGCCUAUGGCAAAUAAGUAGGGUAUUCCUUGCUGGUACAGGUCCGAAAAUGACCAGUUGUGAUUUUGGAUUUGGUAUGGAUUAUUCGUUCUUGAGAGUUUAAAGAAUUGGAAACCCUCUACAAUGGUAGUUCCUUAACCAGCGCUUUAGUGCUGCAUUUGUCAAGAUGUUAUCCAUAUCCCCAUUGGAACAGAAUUACCUUAAAUUCUGACACUUCCGAGGAGCAUGACAUCUGUUAUACAAACUCCUUCUCUGCCCACUUGUACAAAUCCUUGUAUAUUUGUAGUAUUUUAUUUAUAUGCAUCAUUUUCUAAAAUCUAGAGGAAGUUGGGUAGCAUUUUUAUUUUUGUCUUUAUUCAUUUAACUUUGCAUUUUAAGUACUGAACUAUAUUAAAUUUGUCAUGCUGGCCAUUUAUCCAUGUGAUGGUGACUUAACCCCUUCAAUGCCAAAAUAAAGCAUAAAUGUUUUUAUUUCCAUGUAUUUUGCAGCAAGAAAUCUAGUCCAUAAAACCUCACUUACCAUUGUUUAUACUCCGAUUAGCAGCGUGUAGAUGAAUAAAUAUCUCUGUCAGAAGCCUCUAGUCACUGAUCUAAUGAAUGUAAUGUUGCUGAAAGUGUAGGCCUCACCCCCUGCUUUCAAACAGUACAGGAAGUUUCAAAGAGUGAUGGCAAUAACCUACUUAUAGUCUGGGGGUGGGGGUGUAGAGGGAGUGAAUAGACUAGACUGUACCAUUUCACUGCCAACAUUACAUUAGCCCAGGGGUUCCCAAUUAAUUUUUCCAGUGGAACCCAUUGCUUUUUCUCUUGAUAGUUCCUUGUUUUAACCAGAUGUCUAAAUUCAUGGUUGUUGGUUGGUUAAAAAAAAAACAAAAAAAAAAAAACACUUCUCUAACCUUAAAAAAAAUAUAUAUCUCACUAUCUGACUGCAAUGGAUGCUGGUUUUUAUAAUGUUCUUAGAAAUAACUUUAUGAAAGAUGGGUUUUGGAUCAGUCUUGGAGCAAAAAGAUUAGAAAACUUAAACAGGUCUCACUACCUGACUGCAAAGGAUGCUGUUUUUUUUUGUUUUUUUUUAUAAAGCUCUUGGAAAGAAAUGAAUGUAAGCAGGAUUUUGGCUCAGUCUUGGAGUAAAGAGAACGCUUUACUUCAGUUUUCACUACCUGACUGUAAAGGAUGCUGUUUUGUUAACAGCUCUUAGAAAGAAAAUUUGGGGGUAUAUCACAGAUUUCUACAGAUAGUACACAGAACUAUAUAUAUAUUUAAAAUUAUAUGUAAAUAAGUAAAAAUUAAUGGAAAAAUGUGAAAAGCACAACCCAAAUAACUUGUUUUCAGCUGCAGACUUUUAACAGUGUCUACAUGACAAAAUAAAUAAACCUAUCCUCAUGUGCCACAAUGGGCACUAAUUUAAAGGGCAGUAAUCUCUAAAUUGCAGUAUAAGAAAUCGUUUCUGACCUUCCAGGAACAGCAGGGAGCGGUGGCCAUCCUGGAUGUGGCGAUUCACUGAGGAACCCCAGUUUUGUUCUUGCGGAACACCAAUUGGGAAACGCUGCAUUAGCAGAUCAUAGACUGAUAAAGAUUGCU